rnacentral:rRNA from 1 species
UACGAAGGGGGCUAGCGUUGUUCGGAAUUACUGGGCGUAAAGCGCACGUAGGCGGAUAUUUAAGUCAGGGGUGAAAUCCCGGGGCUCAACCUCGGAACUGCCUUUGAUACUGGGUAUCUUGAGUAUGGAAGAGGUAAGUGGAAUUGCGAGUGUAGAGGUGAAAUUCGUAGAUAUUCGCAGGAACACCAGUGGCGAAGGCGGCUUACUGGUCCAUUACUGACGCUGAGGUGCGAAAGCGUGGGGAGCAAACAGGG